AGACGGAGGGUGCAAGCGUUAAUCGGGAUUACUGGGCGUAAAGCGCUCGUAGGCGGCUUGUUAAGUCGGAUGUGAAAGCCCCGGGCUCAACCUGGGAACUGCAUUCGAUACUGGCAGGCUAGAGUAUAGUAGAGGCAAGUGGAAUUCCGGGUGUAGCGGUGAAAUGCGUAGAUAUCCGGAGGAACCUCAGUGGCGAAGGCGACUUGCUGGACUAAUACUGACGCUGAGGAGCGAAAGCGUGGGGAGCAAACGGGAUUAGAAACCCCAGUAGUCC
rnacentral:rRNA from 1 species